rnacentral:lncRNA from 1 species
AAGGAAAUUCCAUGAUUUGCAAGUCUGCCAGAGCCAGAGUGUGUGUGUAGGGCCAGGUUGCUGUCAGGCACAAAGGCAGGGAGAUGGCCUGUGUCCAAAUGAAGAUCCACUGGGGCAAGAAGAAAGCCAGGCUGGAAGGAAGAGAAGCAGGCUUCGAGCUCCAACAAUUCCUGCCCAGUGAGGCUCAGGGGCACCAGAGACAAGAGCCCAAAGGCCAUUCUUCGAAGCUGAGCAAGAUUGCAGGGUUUCUGAGAGUACUGCGCAGAAAUAAAGGAGACAAAAAUGUCACUGAUCCACCAGAAACUUCCAAAGGUUUCUCCGAGUUGGUCCAGGAUGGGCAGUUCCUGGAGGCCUACCUGAGCAUCCCGACAUUGGUAAAGCAAGGGCAAGACUGCAAAUCCCUGUACCAGGUUGUGGCCCAGAGCAUGUGGCAGGUGCUCCAGCAGGCUCUGGAGGGCACUGAGUACUGCCCGGAGCUGGAGCUAAAGAUCCAGGCUGUGCUGGGCACCAUAGAGUGGACACAGGAGAAGCACCAGAGCUGGGAGGAUGGUGACCUCCAGGAUGGUGACCUCCAGGAUGGUGACCUCCAGGAUGGCGGAGUUGCCGCCUGGGGCAAUCAGCUGGAGAAGCUGCUGAGAAGUGAUGUGGAGGCCAGAGUGCCUGCCCUGGGCCCUGGCGACCAGGUGGACCUGUACCUGGAGAAGCUAGAAGAGGCUGUGACACAGGGCCUGAGGUCCCCGCGGGCCAGCCUGUUGGGGCCCCAGCUCUGGAAGGUCUACAGGACACACUUCCAGGAGGUCCUCCUCAACCGCCUCUGGGAGCUCAUGCACUCCUUUGGCACCAACAGGGAAAGCUGUCACAUGCUGUACUCCUGGGCCAAGAUAACGUUGUUUGGGGAGCCAGGGAAGACACUUGUGAGUGCACCUCCCACCUCCCAGGAGCCCGCGGUCAGGCACCUCUUAGAUUCUGUGACGUUUGUUCCCUGGAUGUCCCGAAUGCAGAAGAAGCUGGUGGGACUAAUACAGGAAAGCUUGGAGGAACAACUAGAAAAUGUCCUGAUCUGUGAUUGGAAAACAUGGGCCCAGGCUUCCUGCCCGACGUUUAUCGAAAUCUUCCAGCUGCUGGAAGAAAACAUUAAUGCAGUACAACCCAUUGGACUACCUAUCACUAGCCAGGUGCAAUCCAUGGUUCUGGAAACAUUUUCAAAGUUUCUGAAAAGGUACGAGGCCGAGGCCGCCCACUUCCUCCACCAGAACGCCACUGCUGGGCCCCUCCCCGAGGUGCACGUGCUGGCAAACUGCUGCAUCCUCAGGGAAACGUGGCAGGAGCUGAGCUGGGCACACAUUCUGCCGGCACAUCUGGACGCUGUCGUGCAAGACACCAUCCACGACAUCGAGAGCCACAGCCGGGACCACUUCCUGUUUAAGGGCAGAGCCCUGUGCAAGAGAUUUGAGCACCUAGGAAGACACAGGGAGGUUCCUCCAGGAUGGCCGGCAUACUGCCUUGCCUCACCCCCGUCCCAGCAUUCUGUUCUGUUCUGUUCUGUUCUGGCCCAUCUAGAGCCCCAGGGUCCUCUAAAAAGAACUCCCAGCAGCCACAGCACAUGGACCGAACUUGGCACCCUGUUUUAUAGAUGA